rnacentral:rRNA from 1 species
AGUGAACGCUGGCGGUAGGCCUAACACAUGCAAGUCGAACGGCAGCACAGUAAGAGCUUGCUCUUACGGGUGGCGAGUGGCGGACGGGUGAGGAAUACAUCGGAAUCUACUUUUUCGUGGGGGAUAACGUAGGGAAACUUACGCUAAUACCGCAUACGACCUACGGGUGAAAGCAGGGGAUCUUCGGACCUUGCGCGAUUGAAUGAGCCGAUGUCGGAUUAGCUAGUUGGCGGGGUAAAGGCCCACCAAGGCGACGAUCCGUAGCUGGUCUGAGAGGAUGGUCAGCCACACUGGAACUGAGCCACGGUCCAGACUCCUACGGGAGGCAGCAGUGGGGAAUAGUGGACAAUGGGCGCAAGCCUGAUCCAGCCAUACCGCGUGGGUGAAGAAGGCCUUCGGGUUGUAAAGCCCUUUUGUUGGGAAAGAAAAGCAGCAGGUUGAUACCCCGCUGUUCUGACGGUACCCAAAGAAUAAGCACCGGCUAACUUCGUG